UGACGAGAACCCAUGGAUUGUGAGUUGCAGGAAGAUUGGGUCGAUGUUUUAGCGACGACCAUUGCCUCCUGAGGACCGUCCUUGUUGUGGUGGAGCAGAGUCGUAGGCACCUAUUGCUCGGAGAUAGCGCAGGUAGUCUGGGUCGAUGUCUUCUUCAGGUUCCUCAAUGCGUAUCAACCGGUAGCUUCUGAACUCGGCUCUGGUCCAAUAUCGUAGCGAAUUUUCGUGUGCUAUAAUAAACAGAGAUAUUAUAGCGCUUCUCUAUUGCUGUAUUAAACCUUUUUAAUAACGAUGGUAAAUAUUAUUAUAUGGCGUUUUGUUUUCGUCAUCAGAAAUUUUAUAAUGACGUUUUGUUUAAGACAUGGAAUAUGUUUUUAUAACUUUAGUUUUUCUAAAUGCAUGCACCUAUAAUAGCAUAUCCUGUAUGUCAUUGAAUAGUAAGAGGUAGCUUUUUUCUUGUGCUAGGACGUAAAUUAUGAUAGCUUUAAUUAUUUUUUAUAUAGAAAAUUGAAUAAUGAAAUAUUUGGUGGUUGAUUUCCUGCUAAAAUUGUUUGAUUUGGAAUAUUGAAUUGCAUAAAUUGUAAAUUUAAAAAAUAUAUAUAAUUAAAAUUCAAAUUUAGAUUAGAGAGACAUGCAUUACAAACAUUCAAGAAAAAAAAACAUUGGACUGAAGCAAAUUAACAAAACAUACUUAAGCAAAUACAACAUACUGAAGCAAUGGUAAUUAUAGUAGUGACGAGAACCCAUGGAUUGUGAGUUGCAGGAAGAUUGGGUCGAUGUUUUAGCGACGACCAUUGCCUCCUGAGGACCGUCCUUGUUGUGGUGGAGCAGAGUCGUAGGCACCUAUUGCUCGGAGAUAGCGCAGGUAGUCUGGGUCGAUGUCUUCUUCAGGUUCCUCAAUGCGUAUCAACCGGUAGCUUCUGAACUCGGCUCUGGUUAUCUCAUCUACAUCAUUUCCUCGUGAGGACUGUCCUCGUUGUGGUGGAGCUGUGUUGACUGCUUCUUGUUGUGUCUGUUCUGGUUUGAGUUGUGGUUUCAC
rnacentral:lncRNA from 1 species